CAGAUUACCUCCCAAAACAUUACUUGCUAGAGAUGGAUGUCACACCCAGCACAUGGAUGGUGUAAACAGCAGUUCAGAAAGGUUUCACUUUCAUUAUAACUGGUUGGACAUCAGCAAGUGGUUCAGUGAUCACGGAAGUUCAUGAAAACCAUAAACUUUCUGAGCAGCCUAACAAAGAAGUGCAGCACUGUGUAAAAAAUCUUAAAACCUAAAUAUGCCUCCAGAGAAAACCGAACUGCCUGAACACAAAGCAGGAAAUUUUGGAAUGUUUCAGUGCAUAAAAAUGAGUCUACAAUCAAAAUUCUACCCCAAUGGGUAUUUUUGUACUCUCAGUCUUUGCUUCAGAAAAGACUGAAUUUUGUCUUAAGUAGAAAACCAGUGAAGACCAAUUCAUUAAAAACAACUGCCAUAGGAGAACCAUAGAAUCAUAGAAUAACCUGAGUCGGAAGGGACCCAUAAGGAUCAUCAAGUACAACCCCUAUUCAAAACUGUAAGUUUCAG